rnacentral:rRNA from 1 species
GAUGAACGCUGGCGGCGUGCUUAACACAUGCAAGUCGAACGAGAAGUGAAGACGGAAACCUUCGGGCGGAAGGCUUUAUUUCGAGUGGCGGACGGGUGAGUAACGCGUGGGUAACCUGCCUCAUACAGGGGGAUAACAGUUGGAAACGACUGUUAAUACCGCAUAAGACCACAGCACCGCAUGGUGCGGGGGUAAAAACUCCGGUGGUAUGAGAUGGACCCGCGUUCGAUUAGCCAGUUGGCGGGGUAACGGCCCACCAAAGCGACGAUCGAUAGCCGAUCUGAGAGGAUGACCGGCCACAUUGGGACUGAGACACGGCCCAAACUCCUACGGGAGGCAGCAGUGGGGAAUAUUGCACAAUGGGGGAAACCCUGAUGCAGCGACGCCGCGGGAGUGAAGAAGUAUUUCGGUAUGUAAAGCUCUAUCAGCAGGGAAGAAAAUGACGGUACCUGAGUAAGAAGCCCCGGCUAACUACGU